GAUGUCAAGCAGCGGCAGAGUCACGCGGUGGCGGCAGUCAAAUUGCAAGGAGUUACCGAAGCCACCGUCGAUUCAUGCCACCCGGAGUAUGGACUCUCGGCGAUGCUCAACCUCUUCCACUGCAGUGCAAAUUGAAAUAAACUCGUUUUAAGCAGUGUAUAUCACGCCACAACGGCGCACGCACGUUAGAUCUGAAGUCGUUGCAGGCUGACAAGCAUGCUAUUAACUACCGUCUCCGAUCGCCGAGGAUUACGUUUUAAUUGCUUGCAAGCUGAGGCUUCGGAAUUGAAGGCGAAUCAAGCAACUUCUGGAUUAUUAUUUCCUACUUCUUUCCGUGGUUUAUGUGUUUUGUGGAGGGACAGAGUCGGUGGCAAGUUGCGGGAUUCAUAUUGUUGGAGUUGCCGGUGAGGAGGUCGUUUGGCGUGUUGGCAUGUCAAGGUGACGCUGUUCUCCUUUGGUGACACGGCGGCAAAACGUGAUCGUAACUGGUUCUGUCGACGAGGCUGCUGCGCCAAGGAAGGGUGUGAAGUCUUCUUUGUAAAGCGAUGAGAAGGCGUGGCCGCAACGACGAAUUGUCAUUGGUAUCCGAGAAGGAUGCUUGGGAUGAUCCGCAAGUGGUCCCGACAAGAGUGGCGUGUUAGACAGUCAUAAUGUUAGAUUUCCUGUGGUUGACGUGUGUGAUAGAAGUGAGGGUACCUGGAGAACGUCGUUCUGACGAGUCUGAAAUCUAAAUUGAGAAUCAUGGACAUCUUUGAUCACCGCUGUCAACUACCUGGACCCUUAGUUUGUACCGCUCAGAUUACCUUUUCCAGAUUAGUCACCUGUUGUUGAUUUUAAUUUGCGUCAACGAUGAUACGGUCAAAAAGUUCUUUGGUGGUCUCUUACCCUUCUUUCUGGCAGUUUCGGUGGAGAGACUCGCGUAAUCGUGCGGCUUCUCGAACACCAUGAGUCAUCUGCCACUAUAAAGCUCGAAAAGGUUCACGAUUCUUUCACCUGUUCAAUGUCAUUUUAGCCUGUAUAGAGAUCGGAGCUCUAAUUAUCAAGAAACUCGGUAUCAGGACGAGAGCAUAGCAGGCAUUGUGAAAGGAUUAAGUUUCAGAAGAAAUUCGGAGGUCACCAUGGGGCUCCUAUUUACAGUCUGCGUGUUUUGCUACUUCACGCUUGUGGCUGGGGGUAUGUCCGACGGCAUGCCUUACGUGCGGCCUCCCUCUAAUUCGAGCAAAAUCGGGUUGCUAAUUAGUGCUGCCAAGAGGAGUUCUACUGAUCCAGACCAGAUUCAUGUGUCAUUGGCAGGGCCAGGAUACAUGAAGGUUUCGUGGAUGACCGCGGACAAGAACGUGCCAUCAACUGUUCAAUAUGGAAUUCAGUCUGGUAAACUCCUGCAGACUGCUAGCGGCGUGUCCACGAGCUACAGAUUCAUCACCUAUCAAUCCGGCCAAAUGCAUCAUGUUAAGAUUGGUCCUUUACAAGAUUCUACGACCUACUUCUACAGAUGCGGGGGGUACGGUCCUGAAUACAAUUUCACGACGCCUCCCCCUUCUGGACCCUCUGAGCCUGUCAAGUUCGCUGUUGUUGGUGAUUUAGGUCAAACGGACUGGACCAUGUCAACUUUGGGUCAUGUUGCUGCAUACGACUAUGAUGUCCUACUCUUCGCGGGUGAUUUAUCAUAUGCAGAUUACAUCCAAUCGCGAUGGGACACUUUCGGGCAGAUGAUGUCUCCUUACGCUAACUACAAGCCCUGGAUGGUGACGGAAGGAAACCAUGAAAAAGAGAGCCUUCCUUUACUAGUUGAAAGUUUUCUAGCUUACAAUACCCGCUGGGAGAUGCCAUACAAAGAAAGUGGCUCAAAUUCGAACUUAUACUACUCUUUUGAAGUCGCCGGUGUCCAUGUUCUGAUGCUUGGUUCCUACACCGACUUUGACACAGAAUCUGAACAAUACAAAUGGCUUCAGGUAGACUUGGCAAAGGUGAAUAGGGCGAAGACUCCAUGGCUGAUUGCCAUGCUUCAUGCCCCUUGGUAUAACAGCAAUACUGCACAUCAGGGUGAGGACGAGAGCGAAGACAUGAUGGCUGCAAUGGAGACAUUACUCUACCAAAACAAUGUGGAUCUCUUGUUUGCUGGGCACGUUCACGCCUACGAACGUAAUCUUCGGGUGUACAAAAAGAAGUUGGAUGAAUGCGGCAUUGUCCAUAUCACCAUAGGAGACGGCGGUAACCGAGAAGGGCUUGCCACAGAUUGGAAAAGCACCCAGCCAGCAUGGUCGGCAAAGCGGGAGUCUAGCUUUGGUUUUGGACAGCUCAACGUGGUGAAUGGUACGCAUGCUCUUUGGAGCUGGCAUAGAAACCAAGAUGUGGAAGCAGUCAUGGCUGAUGAGGUGUGGAUGACUAAUCUGAACGCUAAGCCGGAAUGUGCUCGCAAAGCGUGAUCGGAAUCCCCGAUGUUAAUUCACAAAGCCAGCGCAUAAUGAAUUGCUCUACCCAUAAUAACAAGUACCCUAGACAUUUCUUGAUACGCUUCAUUCAAGCAGACUUUCGGAAGCUACUCCACCACAAAGAGCUUCCCUCGGUAAUGCAUAAUAACUGAAUAACUCAUGCUUUUGGAGCAUUAGCAUAAUAUACAUUCCAACCUUAGAAUAGCAGAGAGGGCUUGUAUUUGAUCACCUCUCUGAUGUAAAAUAUGCAUGGAGACCCACUAGCUGGCAUCACAUUCAAGUUUGAGGCCUCACCAGUGUUUGAAUUGCUCUGGCAAUGAUGGACAAGGCAGAGAGCAGCUCUUUCGCUGUUCACCUUCAGAGGCAAAACUGGGUUGAUAUCAUACACUUCAGUACACUAAAAGGUCGAUAUUUAUACUGCACACGAGUCAUCCUCAUUCCAAGCUCUUGAUGGACAAUUCGAUCAUGGUAUCAGCUGUUAAACCUGAAUCGUAAUUAAAUCUCAUCAACUAGACAGUCAAUUUUAUGGUUUUGGUUGAAUGAGUUGUUGAUGGUAAUAGAUGUAAAGUGUUAUUGUCUAAAGACAAUAUUCUUUCACCUUGUAUUAGAGGUAACAAUUUUGUUCAACAAAUGCAUGGAAAUUGUCAAUUGAAGUGUAAUGGAAAGAAAAUUGUAUAUUAAGGUUUUAAA